AGGACGAACGCUGGCGGCGUGCUUAACACAUGCAAGUCACGGGGGCCCAGCAAUGGGUAACCGGCGAACGGGUGCGUAACACGUGAGUGACCUGCCGAUUUGUGGGGGAUAGCCGGGCCAACGCCCGGGUAAUACCGCAUACGCUCUUCUUGGGGCAUCUCUAGAAGAGGAAACCUCCGGGGCAAAUCGAGGGACUCGCGGCCUAUCAGCUAGUUGGCGAGGUAACGGCUCACCAAGGCUACGACGGGUAGCUGGU
rnacentral:rRNA from 1 species